AGGAGGCAAUAGCUUGAGCAAAUAAUUGAUUGCAGAAGUCCAUCGACUAAAGCUGUCACCUGUUUGCUUCCAGCUUUUGUCUCCU